rnacentral:lncRNA from 1 species
AGUAUGGUUCAUAAUAUCAUGUCUCUAACAUGCAUUAGCACUAAAAUUUCUAUUGCCCGACCUCCAAUAGUUGUGACUUCUACAUAAGUCCAAUUAUGAUUGCUUAACAUAGCGCUAAAUUUUGACACAAAAGGCAUAUCAUUCUAGUAAGUGAGAUUGUAAGUCUCCCCUCUUUCAUGGUAUUGUGUGGAAACUUGGCAUUUUUUCCUUCCUUUGG